rnacentral:rRNA from 1 species
GAUGAACGCUGGCGGCGUGCUUAACACAUGCAAGUCGAACGGUAAGGCCCUUCGGGGUACACGAGUGGCGAACGGGUGAGUAACACGUGGGUGAUCUGCCCUGCACUUCGGGAUAAGCCUGGGAAACUGGGUCUAAUACCGGAUAGGACCACUGCCUGCAUGGGUGGUGGUGGAAAGCUUUUGCGGUGUGGGAUGGGCCCGCGGCCUAUCGGCAUGUUGGUGGUGUGAUGGCCUACCAAGGCGACGACGGGUAGCCGGCCUGAGAGGGUGACCGGCCACACUGGGACUGAGAUACUGCCCAGACUCCUACGGGAGGCAGCAGUGGGGAAUAUUGCACAAUGGGCGCAAGCCUGAUGCAGCGACGCCGCGUGAGGGAUGACGGCCUUCGGGUUGUAAACCUCUUUCAGCACCGACGAAGCGCAAGUGACGGUAGGUGCAGAAGAAGGACCGGCCAACUACGUGCCAGCAGCCGCCGUAA